GACGUAGGGCGCAAGCGUUGUCCGGAUUUAUUGGGCGUAAAGAGCUCGUAGGCGGUUUGUCGCGUCUGCUGUGAAAACUGGAGGCUCAACCUCCAGCCUGCAGUGGGUACGGGCAGACUAGAGUUCGGUAGGGGAGACUGGAAUUCCUGGUGUAGCGGUGAAAUGCGCAGAUAUCAGGAGGAACACCGAUGGCGAAGGCAGGUCUCUGGGCCGAUACUGACGCUGAGGAGCGAAAGCGUGGGGAGCGAACAGG
rnacentral:rRNA from 1 species